UGUUUAAUAAAAACAUUUYUUUUUUUAUAAAAGGUAGGCCCUGCUCAUUGYUUAGGUAAAAAGCCUGCAGUAUACUUGACUGUGCUAAGGUAGCAUAAUUAUUUGUCAUCUAAAUAGUGACUUGUCUGAAUGGGUUAAUGGAUUAAUAGAUGUGAGAAAUAUAAUUUGAAAUUUUUUAAAAGUAAAAAAGCUUUUAUAAAAAAAAAAGACGAGAAGACCCUAAAAAGCUUUAUACCGAAGGUAUUUUAAAUAGGGCAUUAAAGUUAAACUUUUUUUAAUCCUACUGGAUAAAAUUUAAGUUACUUUAGGGAUAACAGGGGGAUUGUGAAAAAAGUUCUUAUUAUAUUCAGAGAUUCCCACCUCGAUGUUGAAUUAAGAAAACCUAGGGUUGUAGAAGCUUUUAUGGUAAGGCUGUUCGCCUUUUAAAUUCUUACAUGAUUUGAGU
rnacentral:rRNA from 1 species